GUGGUGUUCCAAAGCAAUGACUUGUACCUCUUUUUUUUUUCUACAAUCCGAACUUUGUAAUCAUUUUGAUGUAAAUGAAUAAAAUUUAUUUUUGUUACUAGUAUUCAUAGUGUUUGAAUGGAUUAGUGCAAAUUACAUUCUAAGCUGAAUUGGCCAAAUUUCAAUUUGUAUUAACUAAGGACUUAGUUGUAAUUAAAAUCAUAAAAUAUGAUUCGAGCUAUAACUUAGCA
rnacentral:lncRNA from 1 species